UUAUGAUCAUACCACGUUGAAUGACCAGUUCUCGUACGAUCACCAAAGUUAAGCAACGUCCUGCCAGGUCAGUACUUCGAGAUGCGAUCACUUAGAAAUAUCAGGUGU